rnacentral:sRNA from 1 species
AGGAGCUGUUAAAAGGUUAUCACUUAGUUAUGCUGGGGAAAGAGUGGGUGGGAUUAUAAAAGUCAAUUUAACAGCACACAUGAAUUAGGCCCUCUGGUAGAUUUGAAAAUUCCUGCCAACAAGACACGGUGGACUUUAAAAAAUUUAAAUUUCAGCACUCGAUAUAAGUUUUAUUUCUAUGCACAAACAUCAGCAGGAUCAGGAAGUCAAAUUACAGAGGAAGCAGUAACAACUGUGGAUGAAGCGAUGGCAAGCCGGCAGGUGGAUAUUGCAACUCAGGGCUGGUUCAUUGGUCUAAUGUGUGCUGUUGCUCUCCUUAUCUUAAUUUUGCUGAUUGUUUGCUUCAUCAGAAGAAACAAGGGUGGUAAAUAUCCAGUUAAAGAAAAGGAAGAUGCCCAUGCUGACCCUGAAAUCCAGCCUAUGAAGGAAGAUGAUGGGACAUUUGGAGAAUACAGUGACGCAGAAGACCACAAGCCUUUGAAAAAAGGAAGUCGAACUCCUUCAGACAGGACUGUGAAAAAAGAAGAUAGUGACGAUAGCCUAGUUGACUAUGG